AGCGAACGCUGGCGGCAGGCCUAACACCUACAAGUCGAACGGACCCUUCGGGGUUAGUGGCGGACGGGUGAGUAACACGUGGGAACGUGCCUUUAGGUUCGGAAUAGCUCCUGGAAACGGGUGGUAAUGCCGAAUGUGCCCUUCGGGGGAAAGAUUUAUCGCCUUUAGAGCGGCCCGCGUCUGAUUAGCUAGUUGGUGAGGUAAAGGCUCACCAAGGCGACGAUCAGUAGCUGGUCUGAGAGGAUGACCAGCCACAUUGGGACUGAGACACGGCCCAAACUCCUACGGGAGGCAGCAGUGGGGAAUCUUGCGCAAUGGGCGAAAGCCUGACGCAGCCAUGCCGCGUGAAUGAUGAAGGUCUUAGGAUUGUAAAAUUCUUUCACCGGGGACGAUAAUGACGGUACCCGGAGAAGAAGCCCCGGCUAACUUCGUGCCAGCAGCCGCCGUAACAC
rnacentral:rRNA from 1 species